rnacentral:rRNA from 1 species
CUUUGGUAGCAUACCCCGGGAACUGGGGAUAAUUCCGGAUAACGCAUAUGUGCUGGAAUGCUUUAUGCGUAAAAUGGAUUCGUCUGCCCAAGGAUGGGUCUGCGGCCUAUCAGGUAGUAGUGGGUGUAAUGUACCUACUAGCCGACAACGGGUACGGGUUGUGAGAGCAAGAGCCCGGAGAUGGAUUCUGAGACAUGAAUCCAGGCCCUACGGGGCGCAGCAGGCGCGAAAACUUUACAAUGCGGGAAACCGUGAUAAGGGGACACCGAGUGUCAGCGUCAUACGCUGGCUGUCCAGGUGUGUAAAAUACACCUGUUAGCAAGGGCCGGGCAAGACCGGUGCCAGCCGCCGCGGUAACACCGGCGGCCCGAGUGGUGAUCGUGAUUAUUGGGUCUAAAGGGUCCGUAGCCGGUUUGGUCAGUCCUCCGGGAAAUCUGAUAGCUCAACUAUUAGGCUAUCGGGGGAUACUACCAGACUUGGAACCGGGAGAGGUAAGAGGUACUACAGGGGUAGGAGUGAAAUCUUGUAAUCCCUGUGGGACCACCUGUGGCGAAGGCGUCUUACCAGAACGGGUUCGACGGUGAGGGACGAAAGCUGGGGGCACGAACCGGAUUAGAUACCCGGGUAGUCCCAGCCGUAAACGAUGCUCGCUAGGUGUCAGGCAUGGCGCGACCGUGUCUGGUGCCGCAGGGAAGCCGUGAAGCGAGCCACCUGGGAAGUACGGCCGCAAGGCUGAAACUUAAAGGAAUUGGCGGGGGAGCAC